GUCGAGAAUAAUUCACAAUGGGGGAAACCCUGAUGGUGCAACGCCGCGUGGAGGAUGAAGGUCUUCGGAUUGUAAACUCCUGUCAUCCGGGAGCAAGACCUGACGGUGAAUAGCCGGCAGGGUUGAUAGUAUCGGAAGAGGAAGGGACGGCUAACUUCGUGCCAGCAGCCGCGGUAAUACGAAGGUCCCAAGCGUUGUUCGGAAUCACUGGGCGUAAAGGGAGCGUAGGCUGCGCGGUAAGUCAGGUGUGAAAUCCCGGGGCUCAACCCCGGAACUGCACCCGAGACUGCCGUGCUAGAGGGUUGGAGAGGUGAAUGGAAUUCUCGGUGUAGCAGUGAAAUGCGUGGAUAUCGAGAGGAACACUCGUGGCGAAGGCGAGUCACUGGACAACAUCUGACGCUGAGGCUCGAAGGCCAGGGGAGCAAAAGGGAUUAGAAACCCCGGUAGUCC
rnacentral:rRNA from 1 species